rnacentral:piRNA from 1 species
UACCAGUUCAGUUCAGUCAGCCAAGGUC